GAUGAACGCUGGCGGCGUGCCUAAUACAUGCAAGUCGAGCGAACGGACGAGAAGCUUGCUUCUCUGAUGUUAGCGGCGGACGGGUGAGUAACACGUGGAUAACCUACCUAUAAGACUGGGAUAACUUCGGGAAACCGUAGCUAAUACCGGAUAAUAUUUUGAACCGCAUGGUUCAAAAGUGAAAGACGGUCUUGCUGUCACUUAUAGAUGUAUCCGCGCUGCAUUAGCUAUUUGGUAAGGUAACGGCUUACCAAGGCAACGAUGCAUAGCCGACCUGGGAGGGUCAUCGGCCACACUGGAACUGACACACGGUCCCGAUUCCUAAGGGAGGCAACAGUCGCGAUUCUUCUGCAGUGGUCAGAAGACUGCAGGACCAACCCCGGAUGAGUGAUGAGGGUCUUAGGAUCCUAAAACUCAGUUAUUCGCGAGGACCAUAUGUGUAAGUAACUGUGCACAUCUCGGCGGUACCUAAUCAGAAAGGCACGGCUACCUACGUG
rnacentral:rRNA from 1 species